rnacentral:lncRNA from 1 species
AUGAUGGGUAAGAUCCUGCUCUUGAAGGCAAUCGAUCUCCCCAUUCUCCUGUACCUAGGCAGGGUGUUUCCCCCAGAGAGAGCAAACAGCAAGAAGAUAGAAGGCAUAAUGUUCAUCUUUGUCUGGGGGAGCCAGAUUGAGAGACUCAAGCGCAGCACCCUGUACAAAGCAGGCACACACCCCCAUGUCUGGGCUGGCAUCCUGGAAGUAGAAGGACAUCAUGGCCCACAGCCGCACCAAGAACACCAUCGCCCACUUGAGAGCCAGCUCAGCCGUAGAUCCACAACAGAUCCCCAUCACCAUUCCCAGCACCAAUCCAGAUCCUAUUGGCCAGUCCCAGCACCAGACGAGAUGCGAAGGAGGGACCAAACACCAAACCUUCACCCGGAGCAAGCGGACCACAGGGGAGUGCCACAAUUGACCUCCAGGUCUAGGGCUCCCUUGCGUGGCUGCUUGGUCCUCAGGUUGUCUUUCCUCCCCUUUGCAGGCCCAGCACCAGUCCCAGAACCAAUCCAGAUCCCAGUUUCCAGCACCAGUCCCAGCACUAGACCACCUGAUGAGGUUCGGAGGAGGUACCAAACAUCACACCUUCACCCGGAGCAAGCAGGACACAAGGAAGCACCACCUCUGGGUCUAGGACACCCUUGUGUGUCUGCUUGCUCAUCAGGUUGUCUUUCCUCCCAUCUACAGAUCCUGACCCAGCUCCCGGUUCCUGUUCUCCCCCAGCACCAGACCCAGCACCAACCCAUGGUUUUCCAGCCCAUGUACCAGCACGAUCUCCAACCUGGCCCCAACACCAACCCAAGUUUCCUGGUACCAGCCCCAACACUAGCACAAACCCCGGACACUGCACCGUCCUACAACUACCACCUUCAUCCAGCAACUUCCAGCUCAGACCCCACCCCACCCCUCCCCUCACACAAAGACACAAACACACCGUCAACCACUCCACCAGACCAACCAUGA